UACGUAGGGUCCGAGCGUUGUCCGGAAUUAUUGGGCGUAAAGAGCUCGUAGGCGGUUUGUCGCGUCUGCUGUGAAAUCCCGAGGCUCAACCUCGGGUCUGCAGUGGGUACGGGCAGACUGGAGUGCGGUAGGGGGAGAAUGGAAUUCCUGGUGUAGCGGUGGAAUGCGCAGAUAUCAGGAGGAACACCGAUGGCGAAGGCAGUUCUCUGGGCCGUAACUGACGCUGGAGGAGCGAAAGCGUGGGGAGCGAACAGG
rnacentral:rRNA from 1 species